rnacentral:tRNA from 1 species
UGGCCGGUCGUAUAAGGGUAGUACCGCAGGUUUUGGUCCUGUUAGUGGGGGUUCGAAUCCUCCCUGGCCAA